rnacentral:rRNA from 1 species
AGUGAACGCUGGCGGUAGGCCUAACACAUGCAAGUCGAACGGCAGCACAGUAAGAGCUUGCUCUUACGGGUGGCGAGUGGCGGACGGGUGAGGAAUACAUCGGAAUCUACUUUUUCGUGGGUGAUAACGUAGGGAAACUUACGCUAAUACCGCAUACGACCUACGGGUUAAAGCAGGGGAUCUUCGGACCUUUCGCGAUUGAAUGAGCCGAUGUCGGAUUAGCUAGUUGGCGGGGUAAAGGCCCACCAAGGCGACGAUCCGUAGCUGGUCUGAGAGGAUGAUCAGCCACACUGGAACUGAGACACGGUCCAGACUCCUACGGGAGGCAGCAGUGGGGAAUAUUGGACAAUGGGCGCAAGCCUGAUCCAGCCAUACCGCGUGGGUGAAGAAGGCCUUCGGGUUGUAAAGCCCUUUUGUUGGGAAAGAAAAGCAGCAGGUUAAUACCCCGCUGUUCUGACGGUACCCAAAGAAUAAGCACCGGCUAACUUCGUG